UUUUAUUUGAGAGUUUGAUCCUGGCUCAGGAUGAACGCUGGCGGCGUGCCUAACACAUGCAAGUUGAGCGAUUUACUUCGUAAAGAGCGGCGGACGGGUGAGGAACGCGUGGGUAACCUACCCUGUACACACGGAUAACAUACCGAAAGGUAUGCUAAUACGGGAUAAUAUAUUUGAGAGGCAUCUCUUAAAUAUCAAAGGUGAGCCAGUACAGGAUGGACCCGCGUCUGAUUAGCUAGUUGGUAAGGUAACGGCUUACCAAGGCGACGAUCAGUAGCCGACCUGAGAGGGUGAUCGGCCACAUUGGAACUGAGACACGGUCCAAACUCCUACGGGAGGCAGCAGUGGGGAAUAUUGCACAAUGGGCGAAAGCCUGAUGCAGCAACGCCGCGUGAGUGAUGAAGGCCUUCGGGUCGUAAAACUCUGUCCUCAAGGAAGAUAAUGACGGUACUUGAGGAGGAAGCCCCGGCUAACUACGUGCCAGCAGCCGCG
rnacentral:rRNA from 1 species